rnacentral:rRNA from 1 species
GGGUGCGAACAUACCUGUGUUAAUGCAAUGGAUCCAAUUAGAACUCCGCAUUUAAGUGUGUUUGAGCUAGAGUAGUACUAGGAUGGCUGACCACCUAGAAAGUCCUAGUGUUGCACCCU